AUGGAAGGACAAGAAGAUGAAGAUCCAACCCUGGGUGUAGCCUGCGUGGGAGGCAGCGGCGGCAACACGGGCAUUGCAUCGAGCUUGCGCAAACGGACAGUCGUAGCUUGCAAGAGCAGCAUGCGCAACGAGCAGGGAAUCUAUGAGAAAAUGAAACCAAUUUCUGCUUAUUUUAUAACUCCCCCAAUCAAUACUGAACUGACUGAAUAUGAUGUAUCUAAUCAAGUUUCCGGUGCAAACAUACAAGCUCAUGUUGUUCUUGAACCUGAAGUGUCUAGUGAACAGACUGCUAAUGAAGGAUUUGAUGCAAACAUUUUACAUGCUCCUGGUGAUGAACAUAUAGUGUCUAAUGAGGUAUCUAAUGCAAGCAUUUUGCAAGCUCCCAUUGAAGGAUUUAGUGUCUAA
rnacentral:rRNA from 1 species